CAGCCGCCGCGGUAAUACGUAGGUGGCAAGCGUUGUCCGGAAUUAUUGGGCGUAAAGGGCUCGCAGGCGGUUUCUUAAGUCUGAUGUGAAAGCCCCCGGCUCAACCGGGGAGGGUCAUUGGAAACCGGGAAACUUGAGUGCAGAAGAGGAGAGUGGAAUCCCACGUGUAGCGGUGAAAUGCGUAGAGAUGUGGAGGAACACCAGUGGCGAAGGCGACUCUCUGGUCUGUAACUGACGCUGAGGAGCGAAAGCGUGGGGAGCGAACAGGAUUAGAUACCCCAGUAGUCCCUGUCUCUUAUAC
rnacentral:rRNA from 1 species